rnacentral:rRNA from 1 species
ACGCUGGCGGCACGCCUAACACAUGCAAGUCGAACGAAGUAGCAAUACUUAGUGGCAGACGGGUGAGUAACAUGUAGGUAUCUGCCCUUUGGCCUGGAAUAACACGAGGAAACUUGUGCUAAUACCGGAUAAGUCUUUACGGAGAAAGCUUUAUGCACCAUUGGAUGAGCCUGCACUUGAUUAGUUUGUUGGUGGGGUAAUGGCCUACCAAGACUGUGAUCAAUAGCUGAUUUGAGAGGAUGAUCAGCCACAUUGGGACUGAGACACGGCCCAAACUCCUACGGGAGGCAGCAGUGGGGAAUCUUGCACAAUGGAGGAAACUCUGAUGCAGCGAUGCCGCGUGAGUGAAGAAGGCCCUUGGGUUGUAAAGCUCUUUCGUCGGGGAAGAAAAUGACUGUACCCGAAUAAGAAGGUCCGGCUAACUUCGUGCCAGCAGCCGCGGUAAUACGAAGGGACCUAGCGUAGUUCGGAAUUACUGGGCUUAAAGAGUUCGUAGGUGGUUGAAAAAGUUAGUGGUGAAAUCCCAGAGCUUAACUCUGGAACUGCCAUUAAAACUUUUUAGCUAGAGUAUGAUAGAGGAAAGCAGAAUUUCUAGUGUAGAGGUGAAAUUCGUAGAUAUUAGAAAGAAUACCAAUUGCGAAGGCAGCUUUCUGGAUCAUUACUGACACUGAGGAACGAAAGCAUGGGUAGCGAAGAGGAUUAGAUACCCUCGUAGUCCAUGCCGUAAACGAUGUGUGUUAGACGUUGGAAAUUUAUUUUCAGUGUCGCAGGGAAACCGAUAAACACACCGCCUGGGGAGUACGACCGCAAGGUUAAAACUCAAAUGAAUUGACGGGGACCCGCACAAGUAGUGGAGCAUGUGGUUUAAUUCGAAGAUACGCGCAGAACCUUACCAACACUUGACAUGUUCGUCGCGACUCUAAGAGAUUAGAGUUUUCGGUUCGGCCGGACGAAACACAGGUGCUGCAUGGCUGUCGUCAGCUCGUGUCGUGAGAUGUUGGGUUAAGUCCCGCAACGAGCGCAACCCUCACUUUUAGUUGCCAUCAUUAAGUUGGGCACUCUGAAAGAACUGCCAGUGAUAAGCUGGAGGAAGGUGGGGAUGACGUCAAGUCCUCAUGGCCCUUACGUGUUGGGCUACACACGUGCUACAAUGGUAUCUACAACAGGAAGCAAGACUGCGAAGUUAAGCAAAUCCCUAAAAGAUACCUCAGUUCGGAUUGCACUCUGCAACUCGAGUGCAUGAAGCUGGAAUUACUAGUAAUCGUGGAUCAGCGUGCCACGGUGAAUGCGUUCCCGGGUCUUGUACUCACCGCCCGUCA